CUUUAGCCGAUAAAAGCAGGCACCAAACUUAAUGAAAAUUCACAUAUACUAAAAUGAUAAAAAAAAGAAGAAGAUAUAUUUCAUUUUUCACAAAAAAUAAUUACGAUUUUUUUUGAAAACAUAAUUAAGAUACUCUCUAUCUGAGUUGAGAAGAUAAUUUAUAAUCCGACGUCAGUAACUAGCUAGUUCUUUGAACAUGUGAAACUUUUGCAGCAUGAAGUGCCAUUUUUUCUUCUUGUUCUUUACGUCUUUUCUUCCUUUUUUUCCUUUUGAUUUCUUCUCAGUUUGAUAUUUUAUUUUUGUUCAACUUUAGUUGAGAAUCCUUAUAUGAUUUGUGGCUUAAACUACUCUUUUUAUUUUUAAUAGUAGAUACAAAACCUUUCGUCUCCUCUCAACUCUUUCCAUAUUUUGGUGUUGUUGUAAUGUACUAAUCAGCCAAAACGGUUAUAAUUGAAAUCUAGUUGCGCAGCAAUUGGACCCU
rnacentral:lncRNA from 1 species